AGUAACGGCGAGUGAAGCGGCAACAGCUCAAAUUUGAAAUUUGGCUCUCGGGCCCGAGUUGUAAUUUGUAGAGGAUACUUUUGAUGCGGUGCCUUCCGAGUUCCCUGGAACGGGACGCCAUAGAGGGUGAGAGCCCCGUCUGGUUGGAUGCCAAAUCUCUGUAAAGUUCCUUCAACGAGUCGAGUUGUUUGGGA
rnacentral:rRNA from 1 species